rnacentral:lncRNA from 1 species
ACUUGGGGGUGGGUGGGCUGCCCGGCCCUGCCUCUUGUACUCAGUUCUCCACUCUGGCCGCCCCGGGACGUGUCCUCAGGACCAGGUGGGUCUCAGCUGGAUGCUCGAUCCCAGCUGGACCCCGAGGACAGACACCAAGCAAGUGCCAGGCUGGCCCUCUGGGAUGAAGCAGAAAGCCAAGCCAUGGGUUCCCCAAGAAGGACAGCCCCCGGAUCUGACAACCUGUGCCCAAAGGUGGCCGCAGCUGACUUUACAAUCUCUGUCAAGAUUUUCUGGUCCUGUUUCCAGUCUUACCAAGUGCCUACCCGCCCGGCCGGAAAGUGGCUAGUGACUGUGUGUGAAUGUGACAACUUGAACAGCAAGUGCCUGCAUUCGUCCCAGUGGGCCCAGGUCCAGCAGAUUCUAGGGGCUGUGAGGCCCAGCAACCUGGACCCAGGCCAAGAAGUCAAGAACUGCUGAAGUCCAGGCCUCCACGCUUGUACUGACACAGGCGACCACCCAGCCCCACCAACCCAUAUGGCUCUGUUUUCCUGAUGUAUGAGGUGGGUAGAGUGCUUUCCCCCUAAAAGAGGACUCCAAGGGAUUAAUUAGUUAAAAUCUGUAAACAUGUAUCAUUAUAAUUAGUAUUCCAGUUUCUAGUUAAAACCAAACUGGCCAAAAGGAAAGAAAAUAUCAGCCCUACCUCUGAGGGCAGCUACCUUUGCUUUUCUGGUAUUUCCAGUCUGACCGGUGGGAAAAUGUCCUGGGAAGUUCAGUGUUUGCUGGGUCUGAGCCUGUAGCUGUGUUCACCACGUUUGAGGAUGAGGAGGCCAAGAAUCCAAUUGUGCCCCGGACCCACCUGGGCUCUGCUUGUUCAGACCAUUGGCUCUAGCAAAGGUUGGACAUCCCUCAUUUGACCCAGAUGCAAUAUGUCUACUGUAGGGCCCUGUGUCUUCAUGUUCUUUGGGGAUAGACAGGUUGUAUAGGCCAUUGUAAAGAGAUUUUUGGUUUCUGAGGUGUUAAUCUAAAAGCAGUGUCUCUGGGGUAGUGCCUACUGCUUUCCUCAAGAGAGGAAACUCGGGACCACCGAAGUUGU